CGUCGUUAAAGUGAAAUCCUGACUGGAAUGACAAAAGGAAAAGAAAUUAAAGCCAGAUUUGUUCCCCUGGGCCGGAGGAAGGAGGAUCCCGUUGGAUUUGUUCCUCCUUUCUUGUCUCCUUCAAAGCCAGGAGAUCAAUUGUGGGCCUUAAUGAGAACCGUCUCGUGCCAGAGGUGGACAAUGGAAUGGGACAGGGACAUCCCGGGGAUUUUACGGCAGCUCGGAGCUUUGGGAUCCAUCCCUGGAAGUGCCAGCCCGUCGUCUCUGGGUUUGUGAGCAUCCCGGCGCUGAGCCCGAGCGGGGAGUUCUGCUGACAAUUCCCAACUUCAUCCCAGGGGAUGAAGUGUCCGUGGGUCCAGCCUCGGUCCCACCACACCCACGCUGGGAUCUGGAAAUUUGGGAUCAGGACCUGGUUUUAAAUCCCCCAUCGCUGGGCCGGUGUGCUUUGUGAGUAUCCCGGAGCUGAGUCCGAGCGGGGAGCGCCGGCGGCAAUUCCCAUCCCUGAUCCCGGAUCUGGGAAAGCAUCUUGGCCCUCCUGGAGGCCCUCAGGGGGACGGGAAUGGCUUUGGGGGGACGGGAAUGGCUUCAGGGGGACGGGAAUGGCUUCAGGGGGAUGGGAAUGGCUUCGGGGAGAUGGGAAUGGCUUCGGGGAGAUGGGAAUGGCUUUGGGGGGACGGGAAUGGCCUCAAGGAAAUGGGAAUGGCUUCAGGGAGAUGGGAAUGGCUUCAGGGGGACGGGAAUGGCUUCAGGGGGACGGGAAUGGCUUCAGGGAGAUGGGAAUGGCUUCAGGGGGACGGGAAUGGCUUCAGGGAGAUGGGAAUGGCCUCAAAGAAAUGGGAAUGGCUUCAGGGGGAUGGGAAUGGCUUUGGGGAGAUGGGAAUGGUUUUGGGGAGAUGGAAAUGGUUUUGGGGAGAUGGGAAUGGCCUCGAGGGGAUGGGAAUGGCCUCGAGGGGAUGGGAAUGGCAUCAAGGAAAUGGGAAUGGCUUCAAGGGGACAGGAAUGGCUUCGGGGGGACGGGAAUGGCUUCAGGGAGAUGGGAAUGGCCUCAAAGAAAUGGGAAUGGCUUCAGGGAGAUGGGAAUGGCUUUGGGGAGAUGGGAAUGGCUUCAGGGGGAUGGGAAUGGCAUCAAGGAAAUGGGAAUGGCUUUGGGGAGAUGGGAAUGGCUUCAGGGAGAUGGGAAUGGCUUUGGGGAGAUGGGAAUGGCUUCAGGGGGAUGGGAAUGGCCUCAAGGAAAUGGGGAUGGCUUCAGGGAGAUGGGAAUGCCUCGAGGGGAUGGGAAUGGCUUUGGGGAGAUGGGAAUGGCUUCAGGGGGAUGGGAAUGGCCUCAAGGAAAUGGGGAUGGCUUCAGGGAGAUGGGAAUGGACUCAAGGAGACGGGGAUGGACUCAAGGAGAUGGGAAUGUCCUCAGGGAUAUAGGAAUGGCUUCGAGGAGAUGGGGAUGACCUCGGGGGACAGGGAUGGCCUCAGGGAGAUGGGAAUGGUCUCAAGAAGAUUGGAAUGGCCUCAGGGCCACAGGGAUGGAGUCGGGAACAGCUUCACAGUAAUGGGGAUGGCCUCGGGGAGCAGACACCUGACAUCGAGGCCCCGUUUCCCACACCAAAGCAGGAAGGACACAACAGGGAGGAUGAAAUUCCCGAUCAUCCCAGGAAUCAUCCCCAUCUCCCGCUCCACGGGCAGCAGCAGGAACUGGGAGAACCUGGGCACGUCCCGGUGCGGCGGAGCCUCCCAAAUCCGCGCGGAGCCGCCUCUUCCGAGGCCUCCGCGCCGGACCCUGGGGAUGAAUCUUCUUUCAGAGCGAAUUCUUUGCUCUGUCACCC
rnacentral:lncRNA from 1 species